AGUUUUAUAGUUAAAAAAUAAUAUUAAAUUGCAAAUUUAAAGAUGAUUAAAUAUCUAAGACUU
rnacentral:tRNA from 1 species